rnacentral:misc_RNA from 1 species
AAUUCUCAACCCUUCCAGCAUUUGUGUUGGCUUGUGGUUUGGAUGUGGAGGUACUGCCGGACCCUUUCUAUAAGUCGGCUCCUCUGAAAUGCAUUAGCGGAACAGUCUGCAAUCCGUCACAGGUGUGAUAGUUAUUUAUGCCAGUGGAUUGCUUUCUUUCAGUUCAGCUGCCAACCGUCCACAAAGGACAACAUUACUGAAU